rnacentral:ncRNA from 1 species
AUAAUAUGGCAAAACAAUCGAAAGGUUGCGACGCAAAGCUACAGGGCCUGUAAAAUGGCAGCCAGCUGC